AGAUUGAACGCUGGCGGCAGGCCUAACACAUGCAAGUCGAGCGGUAGAGAGGUGCUUGCAUCUCUUGAGAGCGGCGGACGGGUGAGUAAUGCCUAGGAAUCUGCCUAGUGGUGGGGGAUAACGUUCGGAAACGGACGCUAAUACCGCAUACGUCCUACGGGAGAAAGCGGGGGACCUUCGGGCCUCGCGCCAUUAGAUGAGCCUAGGUCGGAUUAGCUAGUUGGUGAGGUAAUGGCUCACCAAGGCGACGAUCCGUAACUGGUCUGAGAGGAUGAUCAGUCACACUGGAACUGAGAACACGGUCCAGACUCCCGUACGGGAGGCAGCGAGGUAGGGGAA
rnacentral:rRNA from 1 species